GACAGAGGGUGCAAACGUUGUUCGGAUUUACUGGGCGUAAAGCGCGUGUAGGCGGCUUGGCAAGUCAGAUGUGAAAGCCCACGGCUCAACCGUGGAAGCGCAUCCGAAACUGCUUCGCUUGAGUCUCGGAGAGGAAGGUGGAAUGCUUGGUGUAGAGGUGAAAUUCGUAGAUAUCAAGCAGAACACCUGCGGCGAAGGCGGCCUUCUGGACGAUGACUGACGCUGAGACGCGAAAGCGUGGGGAGCAAACAGG
rnacentral:rRNA from 1 species